GGACGAACGCUGGCGGCGUGCCUAAUACAUGCAAGUCGAGCGGACUGAUUAAGAGCUUGCUCUUAUGACGUUAGCGGCGGACGGGUGAGUAACACGUGGGCAACCUGCCCUGUAGAUCGGGAUAACACCGAGAAAUCGGUGCUAAUACCGGGUAAUAUCUGAGAUCACAUGAUCUUAGGUUAAAAGAUGGCUCCGGCUAUCACUACAGGAUGGGCCCGCGGCGCAUUAGCUAGUUGGUAAGGUAAUGGCUUACCAAGGCGACGAUGCGUAGCCGACCUGAGAGGGUGAUCGGCCACACUGGGACUGAGACACGGCCCAGACUCCUACGGGAGGCAGCAGUAGGGAAUCUUCCGCGAAGGACGAAAGUCUGACGGAGCAACGCCGCGUGAGUGAUGAAGGGUUUCGGCUCGUAAAGCUCUGUUGUUAGGGAAGAAACAGUACCGAACGAACUAGGUCGGUACCUUGACGGUACCUAACCAGAAAGCCACGGCUAACUACGUG
rnacentral:rRNA from 1 species